GAAGUAAAAGUCGUAACAAGGUUUCCGUAGGUGAACCUGCGGAAGGAUCAUUACUGAACUGUCGACACGAGUUGUUGCUGGUCCUUGAAAGGGGUCACGUGCACGCUCUGUUUACACAUCCACUCACACCUGUGCACCCUUGUAGUUCUAUGGCCUGGGGACUCUGUCCUCUUGCCGUGGUCCUACGUCUUUACACACACACCGUAACAAAGUAUCAUGGAAUGUACGCCGCGUCUAACGCAAUACAAUACAACUUUCAGCAACGGAUCUCUUGGCUCUCGCAUCGAUGAAGAACGCAGCGAAAUGCGAUAAGUAAUGUGAAUUGCAGAAUUCAGUGAAUCAUCGAAUCUUUGAACGCACCUUGCGCCCUUUGGCNAUUCCGAAGGGCAUGCCUGUUUGAGUAUCAUGAACACCUCAACUCUCAUGGUUCGCCAUGAUGAGCUUGGACUUUGGGGGUCUUGCUGGCGUAACUGCCAGCUCCUCUCAAAUGAAUCAGCUUCCCAGUGUUUGGUGGCGUCACAGGUGUGAUAACUAUCUACGCUUGUGGUCUUCCAUCAGGUUACCUUCAGUAAUGGAGGUUCACUGGAGCUCACAGACGUCUCUCCUCAGGGAGGACAAGCUUCUUAACGUUUGAUCUCAAAUCAGGUAGGACUACCCGCUGAACUUAAGCAUAUCAAUAAGCGGAGGAAAAGAAACUAACAAGGAUUCCCCUAGUAACUGCGAGUGAAGCGGGAAGAGCUCAAAUUUAAA
rnacentral:rRNA from 1 species